rnacentral:tRNA from 1 species
AUUUGUAUAGUAUAAUUAUUAUUUUUGACUUCCAAUCAAGCGAUCUAACUAAAUUUAGUACAAAUA